rnacentral:RNase_P_RNA from 3 species
GAAGCCCGCCAGACUGCCGCUGGUGCAAGCUGGGAAACCAGGCACUGGAGGAACGUCCGGACUGCAUAGGGCAGCGUAGCAGCUAACGGCUGUCCACUGAAAGGCCGCGCACGCAAGUGCGGGGCUAUAAGGUGAGGAUCAGAGCAACAGAGACGAGUCGCGCUGGGGCAACCCGGUGCGGGUGAAACGGGCAAUCUCUACGCGCAGCAAUACCAAAUAGGCACACGUUGAUGGGGCCCCCGGAGUGUGCGGGUAGGUAGCACCGAGCUGUGGGGUGACCCACAGCCCAGAUGAAUGGCAGUCACAUUGAGGGCAACCUCAAUGCACAGAAUCCGGCUUAUCGGUGGGCUUCACAC